GAUGAACGCUGGCGGCGUGCCUAAUACAUGCAAGUCGAGCGAAUGGAUUAAGAGCUUGCUCUUAUGAAGUUAGCGGCGGACGGGUGAGUAACACGUGGGUAACCUGCCCAUAAGACUGGGAUAACUCCGGGAAACCGGGGCUAAUACCGGAUAACAUUUUGAACCGCAUGGUUCGAAAUUGAAAGGCGGCUUCGGCUGUCACUCAUGGAUGGACCCGCGUCGCAUUAGCUAGUUGGUGAGGUAACGGCUCACCAAGGCAACGAUGCGUAGCCGACCUGAGAGGGUGAGCGGCCACACUGGGACUGAGACACGGCCCAGACUCCUACGGGAGGCAGCAGUAGGGAAUCUCCCGCAAUGGACGAAAGUCUGACGGAGCAACGCCGCGUGAGUGAUGAAGGCUUUCGGGUCGUAAAACUCUGUUGUUAGGGAAGAACAAGUGCUAGUUGAAUAAGCUGGCACCUUGACGGUACCUAACCAGAAAGCCACGGCUAACUACGUGCCAGCCGCCGCCGUAA
rnacentral:rRNA from 1 species